AAAAAAACCUGCUUAUCGAAUAUGUCAAAAUGCAGGCUUUUUGUGAUGGACAGCUCCUCUCAGCUAAACAGUGGUGUAUCCUGGAUUCCCACCAAUACAUGGUAGCAUCAUAUAUUAAUUCUUCCCCUGAGCUCUAAAUGGCUAUAAAGAUUCCCUUCAAUUGACCAGAAGAGGGAAGCAGAGGACCUGAGAUGGCAUCUGAAGUCCCAGUAAGUGACUUGGGAACAAAGGAACACAUGUAAGAAGAUAAGGCAGCAUCAGUUCAGGAGCUUGUCUUGGAAAGAUCAUCUCCCAAGCAGACUGAACCAUUCACAUUUCAACCACAUCAUCUUCAGAAUGCGAAGGCCCAUUAUUGGAAGCCAUCACCUCAUACCAUUAUGCAUUUCCUAGAGCUUCCAUAGCAAACAGGUCUCCUUAAAGUCGGGGAGUACCAGGAGAUCAUCAGGAUGGGGCUGAUGGAGACAUCAGAAAACAGUGAAGCAAGGCCAGUAGACCUGGAGAUUGCAGCAACAGUUCCCAAGAGCUGGGGCUUCCUCACAGCUGUGUGUGUUUGCAUCUUCUGGUCCCAAGAGCAGCCACUGCUCAGG
rnacentral:lncRNA from 1 species